CGGCCGUCCACAAGCUCAAAUGACCAUAUAUGGAGAAAAAGGCGGGACCAAACCAAAUAGGCUUGCAAUGCGCAUGCCCAAGCAAAACCGAUUGUAAGCCAUCUUGAAUUGUUAGCGUGAAAAGAAAUAUACUACAUUUAUUGGAUAUUUUAAUAUGAUGAAUAUUCUAGUAACACCUGGCGCCGUGACCUGGAUGCAGAUUCUAAGCAGAUGGGCCAAAAUGGGGGCAGCUAGAGAGACUCGCCUGGAACUGACAAGCCUGGAGGGAGCUAGUUGACUGUUGGCGAGAUGGGACAACAGACGAAGAAUAAACGAACCUACUUGAUUUGAUAAACAUUUUUAUGUUUUUCAGUUUCGUCGGAAGACAUUUCCCACCAACCAUCCUGUCUUGAAAAAAAUAACUUUUGAACCCGAUUAUCUGAUAUUUUCCAGUUUCCCCUCACAGCAAUUUGCAUCAAACCUCUUGUCUGUUUGGCAGACAAAACAUGCUGAUCAAAAAGAAUGUGUACCACAGGGGCCAGUGUUUCCAUUUGAGUGAUUGACAAGAAGAAGAAGAGAUGAGAAAUUCUCUGGUUGCUUGAUGUGGCGACUGCAGAAGUGGCUCAGCAAAGCGUCUUCGUUGGAGCAAACAACCCUGCAUUCUGGACACCGAUUGUGCGCC